AGGAGGUUUGCAAGGGGUAGGCUUUAGAGAAUAAGCUUCUGAGAAGAUGAGUCUAGGUCCCUGCUACUCUCUCUCUUUGCCCUUCUACUUUCAGUCAUGGACAACAAGCUCCUUGCUGGAUGUGAACUCCUCAGUCUUGACCUUCCCAGCUCUGGAACAGCAAGAAACCCUCUGCUCCUUAUCAAUCUGUUGCCAGAGCAGCCCCAAAGAACAAAGACACCUUGAACUGCCCGCAGCCCUGAUUGUCCUGGAACUCGCUCUCUAGACCAGGCUGACCUCGAACACACAGAAAUACAUCUGCCUCUAUCCCUUUAGUGCUGGAAUUAAAGGUGGCUUUCGAUGACAUCUAAGUAAGGGUCAUUCAACACCCCCCUCAAAGGGGUUACAACCUACAAAUUGAGAACCACUGCUUUAGAGACUCGUCCUGGCUCCUUCUGAGAUCAAGACGUAGAACUCUCAGCAACUUCUCCUGCACCAUGUCUGCCUGCAUGCUUUUCGCCAUGACGAUAACGGACUAAACCUCUGAAACUUGUGUUUUAGGGGUGAUAGCCAACAGCAUGGUGCGAGUCAUAUGCUGCUGCCCAACCGUCACCAUCUCUGCAAACCCCUCAUCUUCCUGAGCUGGACUCUGUGCCCUUUAUCCCAGCUCUGUACUCCUCUCCACCGCUAGCCACUUUCCUACCCACCUCUGGAGACUAUAACAUGGUUCUGAGUGGGGAGUGCAUGCUCGUUCAUGAUUGGCUGAUCACAGUCAGCAGGCAGCCUCAAGCAGCUUCCAUGUAGGGGAAGAAGAUGAGAAGAGGAAAGUGAUCAAUAUGAAAGGGACAGAGGACAGAACAGAGUCAUGGAACACAGGUUCAAGAAAGGAGUUGUGCCAGGGGACUUCUGAGCGCUUCUGAGAAAAUGCCAAAGAAACAAGAGCCUUGUGACUAGUUUCUCCAAAACCACGCAAUUGUUCUCGGAACGUGCUUCCGUGCCCUUUCCAGGUGCAGCAAACAGGAGCUUGUCCCCAAUGUGAGGCUUACCCUUGUGGCUGGACACUACUCAUGUGACCCUCAAGUCUAACUUGUCUGACGCUCUGCAGAGUCGGCUCUUGCAUGCAAGUUUCGUCUGCCUCACUUUUAGGUGCCACUCUCCCAGGUUCACACGCUGACUAAAGUGGCUCUGCUUAUGUUUUCAAACUGGACGAGGAGGAUUCCAGCUCCCUUCCCUCCCCAUGGUCCAGGAAUUGACUGACAAGCAUGUAUUUAUUGAGCAUCUACCACGUAAGGUGACUACGUAGCACAAGGCAUACAUCUUCCUGCAGCAUCCGGAGAGGCACUCUUCUGCAGCAGGAGAUUCACUACUUCGAGCUUUCCAUAUUUCGCAGCCACGUGGAGAGGAGUGAAUCCCUUCUGAGGAAGGAAGCGGGAGAGCAUCACGAAUGGAGGUGCCUUCUGAUUGGUUUAAUAAAGAGCUGAAUGGCCGGUAGCUUGGCAGGAAGAGGUUAGGCGGGACUUCCAGGCAGAGCGAGAAGAGGAGAUGAAUCCAGGAGUGGGAGAGAUGCCAGAGGACAGAGAGAGGAAGCAGGAGGUGCAAGAUGGAAGAGAGGAUCUUGUGAUGUGUGACUUGACUCUCCUAAAGAGCCCAGGAAAUAAUGGGAGAUGAAGUUUGGGACCGUCACUAUUUAUUCAGAUGUCAUUUAGGUAUCCUUAGAAGAUAAUAUAUUGAGAAACAACAAAGAAACAAAGAACAAAAGAAAAUUCCUCAAACCUGAAAAACUACUUCCUGCUGAGCAAGUGUCUCUGGCCACAUCCAUGACUAGCCUAGGGGUCCCACUGUAGACCCAGAACCACAGCUUCUUAACCCAUCACCCGGCGGGAGACUCCAAGAAGGGUGUGCUUCAGGAGCCAAAUCCUCAUACCUUUGUUGUGAUGGAUAAGGAUGCUCCGUGGUCCAGAAGGAACGCAGCGACGUCCUCAUGCCCCUCUCGGGCCGAAAGGUGAAGCGGGGUGUACCCAGAGGUGGUUGCAGCAUUGGGCGACGCUCCUUGCUGCAACAGUUGCUGCACUAUAUCUGCCUUCCCCAGCCGGGCUGAGAUGUGGAGCGGCGUCUGGUCAUCCUAAAUGCCAGGCGGAAACAAAUGCAAGCAAUGAGGAAAGUAACUAACACAAGCAACAAGAGGGGGACACCAGGAUGCCACAGCAAGCAGGAGAAAUCCCGAGGACAGAUCACCGAAGGAAAAGUUCCCACCCCUCUGCCAUGGCUACCUCAACCCCAGAACCUUGCUGUCUUCCAUAUUUCAGGCUCUGUUUGGAGCAUGCCAACUGUAUGACUCAGACACCUUUACAGAAGUCAUUAUCCUAUGGUUUGUUUGAGAACUCUUGACUGCAGGUCACAUCCCCAUAUGGUGUUCGUAACUCAACCAGGGGCCACGGACCCAUAAUAACCAAAAACUAAUUCAAGAACCACACACACAUGUGAAGGGUUUCUGUCAGCACUAGCCCAGGUCCCUUAUAGAGCUUCAUUGCAUCUUUGGUUCUGAAGAUGAAACACGAGCCCUUUGCACUGUGCAUGCGGCCCCACCAUGCAACACCAGCAAACCCUGCUUGAAUAUCUUGGCUCAGUUUUCACGCUAUCGUGCAAUAUGAACUGCUAUGUUUUAAAUUGCAUGUGCUAUUACAGAAAUGACAUAGUUCAAUCACUGAAUGCAAAGACGUUUAUCAUUUUCCCAUUGACAUUCCCAAGCAUGUAUGUAUCAUAUAAACAUAUCUAUGGGUUGGAAUGGUACAGAGUGUUAGUUUUAAAAUUACUGUUUCAGCUGCUGACGAGUUUCACAAUCAUUCAAUGAAUUUUUGGCUCAACUCAGACAGGAUUUCUAACAAUUUCUGAAUUGGUCCUCAACAUUUUAUAGCAUGUAUUUAUGCAAGGCAGUGGUCUCAAGCAUUGACAAUUAUGAAAUCAAAGCCUGGAUGAGCUCUGAAAAACUUUGAAGAUGUUCUACAUCCUGAAGUUCCAAUGAUCCAGCCAAGAUUUAAUUCUUUACAAAAAAAUAAACUAGCACAUCCAUUGUUACUAGCACAUCCAUUGUUAAGCAUGCAGAAUCGCUGUCAACUUUAAUAAAUGCGGAGGUUCUGUGGGUGUCACAGAGUCGAUAUAAAGUACGUUUAUGAUCUAUCGCUAAUAAAGACUGGAUUUGU